GACGAACGCUGGCGGCGUGCCUAAUACAUGCAAGUCGAACGCAGUGGGGACGGGUGAGUAACCCGUUGGUAACCUCCCAUCAGAGGGGAUAACACUUGGAAACAGGUGCUAAACCGAUACUGAUGGAUGGACCCGUGGUGCAUUAGCUAGUUGGUGAGGUAACGGCUCACCAAGGCCACGAUACAUAGCCGAACUGAGAGGAUGACCGGCAACACUGGGACUGAGACACGGCCCAGACUCCUACGGGAGGCAGCAGUGGGGAAUAUUCGGCAAUGGACGAAAGCCUGACAGAGCAAUGCCGCGUGAGUGAAGAAGGUUUUCGGGUCGUAAAACACUGUUGUUAGGGAAGCGGUACCUGAACAGAAAGCAACGGCUAACUACGUGCCAGCAGCCGCGGUAAUAC
rnacentral:rRNA from 1 species